UAGGGAAUCUUCCGCAAUGGGCGAAAGCCUGACGGAGCAACGCCGCGUGAGUGAUGAAGGUCUUCGGAUCGUAAAACUCUGUUAUUAGGGAAGAACAAAUGUGUAAGUAACUAUGCACGUCUUGACGGUACCUAAUCAGAAAGCCACGGUUAACUACGUGCCAGCAGCCGCGGUAAUACGUAGGUGGCAAGCGUUAUCCGGAAUUAUUGGGCGUAAAGCGCGCGUAGGCGGUUUUUUAAGUCUGAUGUGAAAGCCCACGGCUCAACCGUGGAGGGUCAUUGGAAACUGGAAAACUUGAGUGCAGAAGAGGAAAGUGGAAUUCCAUGUGUAGCGGUGAAAUGCGCAGAGAUAUGGAGGAACACCAGUGGCGAAGGCGACUUUCUGGUCUGUAACUGACGCUGAUGUGCGAAAGCGUGGGGAUCAAACAGG
rnacentral:rRNA from 1 species